GGUUGCAACUUUGAGGCCAUAGCUGAGAUGUUCAUGGCGUGGCCCUGUCAGAUUCCAAUGCAUCUGCUAAUUCUGCU
rnacentral:ribozyme from 1 species